rnacentral:lncRNA from 1 species
GCUGACUGUCAGCUGGGACGGGCUGGCUUAACCCUUCCUGCGCCGCUGCCUACCCGGGAGGGAACGAGGCCCGGCGCAAAGUUUGGUAUUUUAAAGCGAUAGGCAAGUCGAAGAAGCAGAGAUUUAUUUGGAGAGAAAGCUCCUGAAACCGACCCAGCCUUUGGAAGACCAGCCCGUCUGCUUAGAAGUUGGGACUGUUGAUUCCUUCAAUUAAUGAAAUGCAUUUGGUGUUUUUAAUCGUAUUUAUUUUACUUUAUGAGAAGGGGGAGACGCUAGGAGGGUGCAUUAAAAAAAAAAAAAAAUUCUGAAAAGCCUGCAAAAGGAUCGAAGAGUGGAAACUAUUGUUGGAGCGAGUUGGUUUUUACCUCAACAGCGCCACCUUUCGGCAAAGGUUUCUUCCUUGGAAAACAAUAUACAUCACUUAAUGAAAUCUUUGUUUGUUUUGCACAAGAGAUGUAAAAAAUCCAGAUGUUUUCUUCAGUGAGAAUUCCUGGGAAGGUGUACCAGCCUUCUUCUCUUUCUUCACCUGACAAAGACACCCAACACGGCCUCUCAGACCGGAGGUGUUUAAUAUAUAGUUUUGACACGCAUGAACAUGGGAAUGAAAGGGCUCCUUUUGGUUUUAGACAAUAGACAGAGCUAUAAAAUGAUGAUGGAGCCUGUUUUCCCCACUCUUGUCAUUUUAAGUCAAUAGAUUUCCUGGGUUUCUUCCCCCGCCCCCCCACUUUGCCUUUUCAGGGGAUAGGCAUCUCCUUAGAUUUUUGUUUUUCUUCACUUAGGGUCAGCUUUAUGAUUCGUUCUUCUGCUGUCAUCCUUUUUCAUCCUAUUCACAGCCUGUACCGGUGAGGGAAUUUGUCUCAAAAGCAUUCAGCCCUUCAAAGAUUUUUAUUGUGGUGAACUCAGAACUGAUAAACAGAAAAACAGAAACAGAAAAAGGGAACUGAUAUGGGGGCGAUCUUGAUGCGGGUUGUGUCUCUCAUGCAUGAUAACUCAGAGGACAGGCUCCUCGGUAGUGCGGUAGUGCUAACUCUGUGAAGUUUCUUCACCCUCCUUCCUAGCCCUGGAGGCGGGGUGAUUCAUAGCUCCUGUUCCAAAGGCAUUCAGCAGCCAUUCGACCUGGGAAAGAAACAGAGUUUUAGAAAAUACAGGCCAAAUGUAGAGACGCCUGUGAUUACCAGGAUGAGUAUGUCAGUGCAGGUGGCUUCUGAAUUUCUGUUUCUGAGUUUGUUUGGCUGAUGCCUAAGGAAAGGGGUCCCUUACAGCCCUGUUUUAUACCUUAGUUCUUGGUGGCAACGUGGGUGUUGCUGAUCUCUCUGAUGUGUUUUUCUGUGCACUGAAAACACCAGACAUGCUCCGUGACAUCCUCGGAGCAUCUCCCAUCAUAAUGGAGUGUUCCUAACCUGACAAAGAAUAGCAUAUUACCUCCCCAUCUACUCAAAAUAAAAUUAUAGUAAAAUUUA